UACGGAGGGUGCAAGCGUUAUCCGGAUUCACUGGGUUUAAAGGGUGCGUAGGUGGGUUGAUAAGUCAGUGGUGAAAUCCCCGAGCUUAACUUGGGAACUGCCAUUGAUACUAUUGAUCUUGAAUACCGUGGAGGUCAGCGGAAUAUGUCAUGUAGCGGUGAAAUGCUUAGAUAUGACAUAGAACACCAAUUGCGAAGGCAGCUGGCUACGCGAAUAUUGACAACUGAUGCACGAAAGCGUGGGGAUCGAAACAGGCAGU
rnacentral:rRNA from 1 species